rnacentral:rRNA from 1 species
CCUNCAACUUAGUUUCUGUUUCUAGAAUAAAACACCUAAAAACCUAAAAAUAAAUAAAACAUUUUAAUAGUCUNGUAGGAGGCGAUCAAAAAACUUAUUAAAACUAUUACCCNAGGACCGAAGGGGAAAGUGAANUGGAAUUGAAUUUUCUUAAAGANAAAAGAAGUUUCUGCGGUU